rnacentral:rRNA from 1 species
AACGCGAAGAACCUUACCAGGUCUUGACAUCCUCUGACACUCCUAGAGAUAGGACGUUCCCCCUCGGGGGACAGAGUGACAGGUGGUGCAUGGUUGUCGUCAGCUCGUGUCGUGAGAUGUUGGGUUAAGUCCCGCAACGAGCGCAACCCUUGAUCUUAGUUGCCUGCAUUUAGUUGGGCACUCUAAGGUGACUGCCGGUGACGAACCGGAGGAAGGUGGGGAUGACGUCAAAUCAUCAUGCCCCUUAUGACCUGGGCUACACACGUGCUACAAUGGAUGGUACAAAGGGCAGCGAAGCCGCGAGGUGAAGCCAAUCCCAUAAAACCAUUCUCAGUUCGGAUUGUAGGCUGCAACUCGCCUACAUGAAGCCGGAAUCGCUAGUAAUCGCGGAUCAGCAUGCCGCGGUGAAUACGUUCCCGGGCCUUGUACACACCGA